rnacentral:rRNA from 1 species
UGGGGAAUAUUGCACAAUGGGCGCAAGCCUGAUGCAGCCAUGCCGCGUGUAUGAAGAAGGCCUUCGGGUUGUAAAGCACUUUCAGCGGGGAGGAAGGCGAUAAGGUUAAUAACCUUGUCGAUUGACGUUACCCGCAGAAGAAGCACCGGCUAACUCCGUGCCAGCCGCCGCGGUAAUACGGAGGGUGCAAGCGUUAAUCGGAAUUACUGGGCGUAAAGCGCACGCAGGCGGUCUGUCAAGUCGGAUGUGAAAUCCCCGGGCUCAACCUAGGAACUGCAUUCGGAACUGGCAGGCUAGAGUCUUGUAGAGGGGGGUAGAAUUCCAGGUGUAGCGGUGAAAUGCGUAGAGAUAUGGAGGAAUACCGGUGGCGAAGGCGGCCCCCUGGACGAAGACUGACGCUCAGGUGCGAAAGCGUGGGGAGCAAACAGG